UACAGAGGGUGCGAGCGUUGUUCGGAAUUAUUGGGCGUAAAGGGCGCGUAGGCGGUGCGGUAAGUCACCUGUGAAAUCUCCUGGCUCAACUGGGAGCUUGCAGGCGAAACUGCCGUGCUGGAGUGUGGGAGAGGUGCGUGGAAUUCCUGGUGUAGCGGUGAAAUGCGUAGAUAUCAGGAGGGACACCUGUGGCGAAAGCGGCGCACUGGACCACAACUGACGCUGAGGCGCGAAAGCUAGGGGAGCAAACAGG
rnacentral:rRNA from 1 species